CUCCUUUGACGUUAGCGGCGGACGGGUGAGUAACACGUGGGUAACCUACCUAUAAGACUGGGAUAACUUCGGGAAACCGGAGCUAAUACCGGAUAAUAUUUCGAACCGCAUGGUUCUAUAGUGAAAGGUGGUUUUGCUAUCACUUAUAGAUGGACCCGCGCCGUAUUAGCUAGUUGGUAAGGUAACGGCUUACCAAGGCGACGAUACGUAGCCGACCUGAGAGGGUGAUCGGCCACACUGGAACUGAGACACGGUCCAGACUCCUACGGGAGGCAGCAGAC
rnacentral:rRNA from 1 species